rnacentral:rRNA from 1 species
AAGAUGUAGGCGCGAGUGGCGGACGGGUGAGUAACGCGUGAGUAAUCUGCCUCAUACAGGAGAAUAACACUAAGAAAUUGGUGCUAAUACUCCAUAAGCUCACAUUAUGACAUCAUAGAGUGAGAAAAGAUUUAUCGGUAUGAGAGGAGCUCGCGUCUGAUUAGCUAGUUGGUGGGGUAACGGCCUACCAAGGCAACGAUCAGUAGCCGACCUGAGAGGGUGAUCGGCCACAUUGGGACUGAGACACGGCCCAAACUCC